GCUCAGAACGAACGCUGGCGGCGUGCCUAACACAUGCAAGUCCAACGUGAAAGGGGAGCAAUCCCCCGGUAGGGUGGCGAACGGGUGAGUAAUACAUGGGAAUCUGUCCUGGAGAUGGGGAUAUCCUUCCGAAAGGAGGGUUAAUACCGAAUAUCGUCCGGGUGACGGGAGUCACUUGGGGAAAGGGAGGCCUCUGGCAACAUGCUUCCGCUCCGGGAGGAGCCCAUGGCCCAUCAGCUAGUUGGUAGGGUAACGGCCUACCAAGGCAAAGACGGGUAGCUGGUCUGAGAGGACGAUCAGCCACACUGGCACUGAGACACGGGCCAGACUCCUACGGGAGGCAGCAGUGAGGAAUUUUGCGCAAUGGGGGCAACCCUGACGCAGCAACGCCGCGUGUGGGAAGAAGGCUUUCGGGUUGUAAACCACUUUUGUAAGGGACGAAUUCCUUUCGGUUAAUACCCGAGGGGGAUGACGGUACCUUGCGAAUAAGCCACGGCUAACUCUGUGCCAGCAGCCGCGGUAAGACAGGGGUGGCAAGCGUUGUUCGGAAUAACUGGGCGUAAAGGGUCUGUAGGUGGUUUUUCAAGUCUUUGGUAAAACGCCGUGGCUCAACCAUGGUUUGGCCAAGGAGACUGGGAGACUAGAGGCUGGGAGAGGGAAGCGGAAUUUCUGGUGU
rnacentral:rRNA from 1 species